rnacentral:rRNA from 1 species
UGGGAGGGAGCCGUCGAAGGUGGGAUCGGCGAUUGGGACGAAGUCGUAACAAGGUAGCCGUACCGGAAGGUGCGGCUGGAUCACCUCCUUUCUAAGGAGCA